UUUCAGUGCUACCUUUUGGAUGUUACAGGCAUCCAACUCAGGGAACUGAACUUGUGACUCUCCAAAGCAAAACGGUGACAUGAAGACUGAGCUCUACAGAAUAAGUUAAUAUUAGAAGAGUGUUCCCAAGUUGUUCAUGACCAAAGAGUGAAUCAGAAUAUCAAUUGGCAUAUCAGUUUCAUGGGCAGGAUGGCAGUGUGUGGUGGGCAAUCAAGGGCUAGAUGGACUUGGAUGAACUUGCAAAACUGAAAGAGUGAAUGAGGGGAUAAAGAAUUUUGAGAGAUGAACGAGUUUGGGUCUUUUAUGUGAAUUGGAAUCAGAAUAAUUAAAUUCAGUUUUUGUUCAAGAAGUUUUUCUCAAGCCAGGCCUCAUGCUCAGAGGCAGGGCAUCGUAAUCCUUCAAUUGAGUGUAGGCAAAUAAGUGCAACUGGUUCGCAGAAUUUGAAGAAGUGGAAGCAACUGGGAUAUUGUCUAUCAGUAACAGAAAUGUCAGAAGAGAAGAAAGCAUCACUACAUUAACAAUGAUUCACUUGAUCCUAACUGGGCCUCUCUUGGAUACUCUGAAAAAAUGAUGGAUUAUUAAUAUCAGGAAUUAGGGAUGUUUGGAAAUUAUUUGCUCUGAGAUUAAGAUAAUGCCUGGCAAGAGAAAAAUUGCUCCUUUCACACACAGUAUUGUAGAAUCUAAUUAGAAAUUUCUGCUUUGUGAAGAGGAAACUAUAUAACACUAUUAUUUUCAUGUUUUAUAUUGCCCAGACGAGUGCUUGUUCAGCAGUUUGGCCAUACCCAGAGAUGUGGAAAUUUAGAAACAGUGAUGUUCAACACUUAGACAGUGACCCUAAAAAUGUGAAAACACUCCAAAGCAACAAAGAAACAGUAAGGUGAUUGGUUAGUCACAGGUGAUUCAGAGAAAGGAUGCUAGACUCUUAAAAGAAUGUCAGAGAUUUGUAUCCACAAGAUGUGGAUUUAUACUUUUGCAAAGGAACACAAAAAAUAGAACACUAUUUACUGGAACUGAGAUUAAAUUGAGGGUAUAUUCACAUACUAAAAUGAGUACAAAAAUUGAGAUAAAAGGCAUAUCCUUGUGGAGAAGGUUAAGUUAAACACCCAACCUACUCCCUAAUAGUCUAUUAAAUCCUCUUAGGUAGGACUGGGUAGUACUGAAUUUCUUAUGCAAUAAUUCCAACUAAAGUAAUUUGAUUAGUGUACCUCAAAGCAAAAAAUAAAAUAAAAUCUCAUAUUCGAAAAUGAUAAUCACAGAGAGCAUGCAGCCCUUUGGUUUGUAUAAAGGAGUUAAAUUCAAAACCUUGAAAUUACCAUACAAAUUAUCUGCCAAAAAUGAGAGCAAAUAUUAGAACUCCAUCUUAAAUUUUUCCCUAGAUGGGAUAAACCUCAUGAUAACAUAAACAUAUUCGGAUAUUAUUUUAUCUGUAUCAUUUUAUUCUACCAUGGUUUUUAAAGCUU
rnacentral:lncRNA from 1 species